UCUAGGCUAAUUCGUGUUCUUACCAUCCUAUGGUCACUGCAGCGCACCUUGCCGAGCACGUCCACAUCUUGUGUGAUGCCAGGGUUAGCCCAGAGUAUAAAGUCUAUUUCAUUUCUAGUCUCGCCAUUCGGGCUCCUCCACGUCCACUUUCGGCUAUCCCGCUUGCGGAAGAAGAUAGGGCUGUACCAGUGAUGGCCCCCGCCCGAAUCCAGCGAUGGGCCCUACUGCUGAGUGCAUACGACUAUGUCAUCAAACACCAGCCGAGAAAGGACAACGUUCCAGCAGAUGCCCUCAGCCGACUCCCGACGUCUGCAACCUCUCAGCCAGAGACCAUGGAAGAAACCGGGGAUGCACUGUAUUCUUCUCUCUCUCUCUCUCACGUCACACGAUGAGGACUUAGCAAAGGUGCAAAAAUGGGUGCGAGAAGGAUGGCCAAGAAACUCGGGGGCCAAGGAUCUGCAUUAGCG